rnacentral:rRNA from 1 species
CUACGUGCCAGCAGCCGCGGUAAUACGUAGGGUGCGAGCGUUAAUCGGAAUUACUGGGCGUAAAGCGGGCGCAGACGGUUACUUAAGCAGGAUGUGAAAUCCCCGGGCUCAACCUGGGAACUGCGUUCUGAACUGGGUGACUAGAGUGUGUCAGAGGGAGGUAGAAUUCCACGUGUAGCAGUGAAAUGCGUAGAGAUGUGGAGGAAUACCGAUGGCGAAGGCAGCCUCCUGGGAUAACACUGACGUUCAUGCCCGAAAGCGUGGGUAGCAAACAGGAUUAGAUACCCUGGUAGUCCACGCCCUAAACGAUGUCAAUUAGCUGUUGGGCAGCAUGACUGCUUAGUAGCGAAGCUAACGCGUGAAAUCGACCGCCUGGGGAGUACGGUCGCAAGAUUAAAACUCAAAGGAAUUGACGGGGACCCGCACAAGCGGUGGAUGAUGUGGAUUAAUUCGAUGCAACGCGAAGAACCUUACCUGGUCUUGACAU